AAGCAAGAAGAGAACUCUGGCUUCCCUUGUUUCACCUUUAUCUUUUUGAGAAGACAAAUGGAAGUUUGAAUGAGAUCUGUCAUCUUCCCACAGUAGCUAGAACGCCAACCUCCGAGAAGGUUCACGGUGAAAAAUCCAGCCCUCACUUUAAGAUGCACCUAGCGACAUUGGAGUUGCGUUCCUUCACUGAAAGAACUAGAAGUAUUGACGGCUCCCACGGCUACCCCAUUUCCCUGGGCGUGCUAAUGAUCUACCUCUAGCACUUAAGAGAGUGGCACAAAUCCUUGGCCAUUCUUGAACAGGAAAUGGACGUCUGGAUGGUACCUGAAUUUCUAUCAACCACUGUGGCUGGACAAACCUUUUCCUAUGCAAAUCCAGUACCAAACAAGUGGGCAGAGACUGAGAUACCUCAACAAGCUGAUUUUGGUCAGAGUGAUUUCUAAUAGCAACAGAAUGAAAGUGGAGCAAUGUGGAGCAGCCAGCUGCUCUGAACACUCAUCCGCC